UUCAAAUAUGCUACUCACUUCACUUCUCUUCUCAUUUCAUCUCUGUAGCAGCUGCCUACUUGGCCCCCCCAGAAUCUAAAGGACUUUUGUUACUACCACAGAGAAGGAAGAAAUAGCCUCUGGCCUCCCAUUCUUCAGUAUCAACCCCAUUACUUAUCCUGUUCCAUGCAAUUCUCAUACAUAGGAGCAUCCAAGCCGAAACCAAAGAACAAUCUGUGCUCCUGACUGGUAGUUUACUCCAAAAAGAUUGGAGAAAGGGCUGCCUUCUGAGUUCCAAGAUAUAAACUAAGCAGCCUGUGUCUGGGCUCCUCCAACCCUCAUGUACUCACUAUUUUGAGUUUGGGGUUAUCAAGAGAGGCAGUCUGGUAUAAUGAGAAGAAAAUACUAUCCAACUGGGAGUCAGAAAAUCUAGGUUCCAGUUCACACAACUCUGAAACUUCCUACCCUCUUCACUGUGCUCAAGUCACUUGGCAUCCAGCAGGAACACGCUGCCCUAGGGCGGGCCCUGCCCCUACCAGCUCAGUGCAAAGAGUGUGCAAAAAGUGGCUGCGCCUGUGAACGCGAGUGGGGGCUGGGAAAAUGGGCAUGCACUCUUCCUUUCCUCCCUCCCUCCCCCGGCAUCCCCGGCUCUCCUACCAAUCUUUUCCGGCGGGGCGCGCAGUUCACCCCAGACCGGGCCGCAGAGGAGCAGCAGCAGCAGCGGCGGCAGCAGCAGCAGCUGUAGCCGAGGAGGCCCUGGGAGGCCCCGAGAGGUAGCCAGACGCAGCAGGAGCGCAGGGUUGCCCCGGCGCGCGCGCGGUAUAGCCUCGCCUUCCAUGGCCUCACUCGCUCGCUCUCGCACUAGUGCCGGGGAUAUAACCAGGUGACCAGAGGGAGGCGGAGCCUGAACGCCCCACCCCUACCAUCCCCUUUCCUCCUCCCCUUCCCUCCUCAUCCCGCCCCUCAGCCUCCUAGCCCCGCCCACUUUCUGGAAACUCGGCGGGCCUGCAGGAAGCAAAGGGAAGAGUGAAACGGAGAUGAAGGUGGCUUAGGGGAGCGGAGCAAACGAGGUAACUGGGCGAUAGAAGAGUGUCAUUCAUUCAUUCCAACAGCAUUCAGGAAAGACAGGAUUUCGGAGCUGCAAGGGAACAGAGAGAUCAUCUAGCCCAACUUUCUUAUUGUACAGCAUUUAUUAAGCAUCUCCUGAGCGCUGGAAAUAAAUGACAUGUGGAGAAUCAAUAAGGGAAA